GAUUAGGACUGUUAGUGGUUACCUUUUGGAAAUCCCACUAAGAAUUUGUGCGUUUCUUCAUCUGCUUACUGAUUGAUGUUGAGGGCACGAAAUAAUCUGCUUUUCUCAAGAUUUAGCAAUAUCUUGGAACAAUUGUCAGUGGAUAUAUGAGACUUUUGACAGAUAAAUUCUCUUAAUAUGGAAUUUACCUUAAUCUGUUUGAAGUACAUGUGAUUGCCAACAUUAUUUGGUGUAGAUGUAAUACGUAUGAUGAUUUUCGUUCCAAUGGAGGAUUAUGGCCUACAUUUAUACUGAUCAAACAAUAAUAUUGAUUUACAUCAGCUCUGCUUGGAAAUUGAAUGCUACAGAAAGUCGUGCAGUUCAAGCGUUUAUACAUCUUCGGGAGCAUCAUCUUCAAGCAAUAGCGGAUCCAAAACAGAAAGGACUUCUUCAUAUCCAACUUUCAGCAGCAAACAGAACCCUCAAUGCAAAAAGCAGACUCAAGUUCCUAGCAGUACUAUACCUCAUGAAUUCGAGCCGCAAAACUUAAAGGUUUCCAGUUCAAUCAAGCAGCACCCAAAACCCCAAGGAAGCAGCAGGGACAAGAAAACGGGCCGGAAAGGGAAGAAGAAGAACUUGGCUCCUAGUUGGCCACACCUGAAAAUUUUGGGGUGCUAAUUCUCGAUAGAACCAAAUGCAGGCUUGACGGAGGAAAUAAGACUCAUGAAUAAAGGAAACAUUCAAAAGCAUUUUGUCUUUUUAUCUUGAUAUAGUAUUUUGUCAAUCAGUUUUAGUACUAUGUAAGAUUUUAAUGUUUUUUACUUAGGAAUUAGGUUAUUCCCUGUUGUUUGGAAUCCUUUGAUAUUUAUGUUUCUUGUUCACUUAAAAUUUAGGUCUAGGUUUAUAAUAUUUAUAACCCAUUGUAACUCUCUACUCACUUUAUAGUUAAAUUAAUGAGUUGACGGGUUUUUCACCUCUCAACUCCUCGCUCAAGAUAACAAAA